AUUGAACGCUGGCGGCAGGCCCAACACAUGCAAGUCGAACGGUAACAGGAAGCAGCUUGCUGCUUCGCUGACGAGUGGCGGACGGGUGAGUAAUGUCUGGGAAACUGCCUGAUGGAGGGGGAUAACUACUGGAAACGGUAGCUAAUACCGCAUAACGUCGCAAGACCAAAGAGGGGGACCUUAGGGCCUCUUGCCAUCGGAUGUGCCCAGAUGGGAUUAGCUAGUAGGUGGGGUAACGGCUCACCUAGGCGACGAUCCCUAGCUGGUCUGAGAGGAUGACCAGCCACACUGGAACUGAGACACGGUCCAGACUCCUACGGGAGGCAGCAGUGGGGAAUAUUGCACAAUGGGCGCAAGCCUGAUGCAGCCAUGCCGCGUGUAUGAAGAAGGCCUUCGGGUUGUAAAGUACUUUCAGCGGGGAGGAAGGGAGUAAAGUUAAUACCUUUGCUCAUUGACGUUACCCGCAGAAGAAGCACCGGCUAACUCCGUG
rnacentral:rRNA from 1 species